ACAAAGUUCAUUUAUAGAAUUUCAACAACAUGGCCAUUCCUGAGAACUCUAGGCUGUUUAUCUCCCUGCUCUCAGGGCUGACAAGGCCAUGCAGAAUUCCCAUGUGAAGACAGAACAUAACCUCCAGGUCCAAGUUCUGCAGGUGGAAAGGAAGGUGCACCAGGAGGCUUGUCUUGGAAGAGAUUCCAGACCCUGUCAAACUGACAGGAACCAUCACACUUCUCUCGAUUACAAUUAAUGGAUUCUGCAUCAUCUCAAAUAUGUGGGUUUUCCAGUUGACAGCCUCCUACAACUGCGUAAAUUGCAUACGAAAGUUAUGUCUGUAACACUGUUGUAAAGCAGGUCUUCAUGAAAGAUAUCCAAAACUUGAUCUUCACUGAAAAACAAGACUGAAGGCAAGCAGAAGGUUGUUUUGGCAAAGCAUACUGAACUGAUAAAGAACUAAUUAGUGUAUUUGAGUUCAGGCCUUGGGACAUUUUGUCCAAAUGCUUUCUUUUUAAUUCAUAAUUUAAAAUGUACCUCUCUCUUUUACUUUGAAACGCAUGCUUCCUUUGGAGUAAAUUCUGAUGGUAUAUAAAGGAGUGAGUUAUAUCUAAAUGAUUUAAAUGUGUUCACCAUGAAUUGCCAGUAACUGUUUUACUCUCCUGACAUUAUAAAAUCUGUCAAAUAUAAUUCAGGAAGAUGUCAAGCAUUAAACAGAGAUAUGACAGCUUUAACCUGGGUUGACUUCAAAAGUACCUUACUAUCCCUCCCUUGCUUGAGAGUUUUUGUAACAUAAAUCAAAGCACAGCACUUAUAAAAUACAUUUGUCUCAUUUACCUGAGCUCUGUCACAUCUUUGAAGGUGUUUCAGGCAUUUAUUUACUCAGAUUCAACAAGGAGCUGAGAUGGUGAGGAUGGCACAAUCAGAAUGUAAGGGAUGCCUUCAAAGUCCAAACUGAUGAGAGAUGCUGUUAUAAAGAAACGACAUAACCACAGAUAAGUGUAGACUUCACUCCUAUUAAGGAAACUCACUAUUUGCGACGCAGAGAAAGCAUUUUAGAAAACCACAAGCAAUAGGAAUGCAGCGCUGUGGAGCCCAGUCCCAAUGGAUAUAUUUACAACUCUUGCUGCUAAGACUCCAGGAAUAUUGAUGAAGGAGGUAGGGGAUACUGAUUGUAAAAAUCAGAGAGGUUCAAAAAUUUUUUGUAUGUGUUUCUGAGACUGUCCUUGUAAGUGGAGAAGUCACACUCAUAAAGUCUCAUCAACAUGGCUGCCUACACAUGAACUGAUCAAGAACAACAGAAAUGCAUGUGCUAAAGUACGUGGGGGAAGAACAAGAGGCCUCAACGCUAUACAAAAAUAUUAUAGGCAACUAAAGAACUGGCAGAGUGGGAGAAAUAAUCUUCCCCGGAGAAGAACACACCACUUGGUUAUCCACUACAAAACGGUCAGCCCUGAGAACAUGCAAUCAAGCAACAAUAUACAAACUGAGAAGAUCAUAUAUUGGGAAUAUAUAUACACGUGUGUGUAUGUAUGUGUGUGUGUGCGUGUGUGUGUGUGUGUGUGUGUAUGUGCAUGUGUGUGUGUAUAUGUGUGUGUGCAUGUGUGUAUGUGUGUGAAUAUGUGUGUGUGCAUGUGUGUGUAUGUGUGUAUAUGUGUGUGUGUGCAUGUGUGUGUGUGUGUGUAUGUGGUGUGUGUAACAACAAUUAAUUAAUAAAAGGCCAGGAAUUUACAAGAGAAUGAAGAGGGGUUUUAUGGGAGUGUUUAGAGAGAGGAAAAAGAAAAACAAAAUAAUUAUAAUCUCAAAGGAAAGAAAAAUAAAGCCACUUGUUUUUAAAAUUUGGCCAUGUUACUGUAAAAAAUUAAAAUCAUAUAAUAUUAAUUAUUGAUCUCUGUGAGAGUGGAGAAUAUACUUAAGCUUAUUGUAAAGUCAAGAUGUACCUAUUUUAGCUGGGCGUGGUGGAGCACACCUUUAAUCCCAGCACUUGGGAGGCAGAGGCAGGCGGAUUUCUGAGUUCGAGGCCAGCCUGGUCUACAGAGUGAGUUCCAGGACAGCCAGGGCUACACAGAGAAAUCCUGUCUCAAAAAAAAAAAAAAAACAAAAACAAAAAAAAAG
rnacentral:lncRNA from 1 species